CCUACGGGUGGCAGCAGUGAGGAAUAUUGGUCAAUGGGCGAGAGCCUGAUCCAGCCAAGUCGCGUGAAGGAUGAAGGAUCUAUGGUUGGUAAACUUCUUUUAUAUGGGAAUAAAGUGAGGAACGUGUUCCUUUUUGUAUGUACCAUAUGAAUAAGCAUCGGCUAACUCCGUGCCAGCAGCCGCGGUAAUACGGAGGAUGCGAGCGUUAUCCGGAUUUAUUGGGUUUAAAGGGUGCGUAGGUGGUUAAUUAAGUCAGCGGUGAAAGUUUGUGGCUCAACCAUAAAAUUGCCGUUGAAACUGGUUGACUUGAGUAUAUUUGAGGUAGGCGGAAUGCGUGGUGUAGCGGUGAAAUGCAUAGAUAUCACGCAGAACUCCGAUUGCGAAGGCAGCUUACUAAACUAUAACUGACACUGAAGCACGAAAGCGUGGGGAGCAAACAGGAUUAGAUACCCCAGUAGUC
rnacentral:rRNA from 1 species